UUAAUUUAUAAAUAAUUCAUGCUUGAGAAUUCAUGAUGAUGAAUCAGGACUGAUUCAGCAAGUUAACAAUCAGCACGAGAAAUAAAAAGCAAAGAAAAACCCUUGUGGUGACUGGUGAAAUUGAAAAUUGUAAAUGAGAUGAGCAUUAAAUCGGUUGACUCACCAUAAAGAUUAGUUUUGCCAGCGCCUAGCGACUCUUAGCACAUGUUUACGGUCUCGGAGCGAACGCUAACAGGGCUCUGGGGGACUGGGAACGAGAUCUUACGACAAGUAUACCCGGGGGGCGGGAAUAGCGAAUAUAUACGGUUUUAAUUCCAAACAGAUGGUGUUUCUGUUUUUCAUGCUUUGUCGGUUCACUUACAGAAUAAAGAAG